rnacentral:tRNA from 1 species
GGAGAGGUGCCGGAGUGGUCGAACGGGCUUGACUCGAAAUCAAGUGUACGGUUUACCGUACCGUGGGUUCGAAUCCCACCCUCUCCGCCA